rnacentral:rRNA from 1 species
AUUGAACGCUGGCGGAAUGCUUUACACAUGCAAGUCGAACGAUGAACCUUAGCUUGCUAAGGGGAUUAGUGGCGAACGGGUGAGUAAUAUAUCGGAACGUGCCUUGUAAUGGGGGAUAACUAGUCGAAAGAUUAGCUAAUACCGCAUACGCCCUGAGGGGGAAAGUAGGGGAUCUUCGGACCUUACGUUAUAAGAGCUGCCGAUAUCUGAUUAGCUAGUUGGUGGGGUAAUGGCCUACCAAGGCGACGAUCAGUAGCUGGUCUGAGAGGACGACCAGCCACACUUGAACUGAGAAACGGUCCAGACUCCUACGGGAGGCAGCAGUGGGGAAUUUUGGACAAUGGGCGCAAGCCUGAUCCAGCCAUUCCGCGUGAGUGAAGAAGGCCUUCGGGUUGUAAAGCUCUUUCGCAAGGGAAGAAAACUUACCAUCGAAUAAAUGGUGAGGCUGACGGUACCUUGAUAAGAAGCACCGGCUAACUACGUG